GCUUAUCACCAUUCCAGAUUGAAUAUACCCGAUCUCGUCUGAUCUCGAGAGUCAAGCAAUCUCGGGCUUGGUUAGUACUUGGAUGGGUGACCGCUUGGGAAUACCAAGUGUGAUAAGCA
rfam:Ciona savignyi cont_38089, whole genome shotgun sequence.